UUUACACACUUUAGUCGGGAU
ensembl:piRNA 21ur-998 ncRNA